UGCAACUCGACUGCAUGAAGCUGGAAUCGCUAGUAAUCGCGAAUCAGAAUGUCGCGGUGAAUACGUUCCCGGGCCUUGUACACACCGCCCGUCACACCAUGGGAGUUGGAAGCACCCGAAGUCGGUGACCUGACCGAAAGGGAGGAGCCGCCGAAGGUGAAGCCAGCGACUGGGGUGAAGUCGUAACAAGGUAAC
rnacentral:rRNA from 1 species